CUCCCACAAGGAUGGGACAUCUGGAGAAUGUGCUUCACAUUUGCAGCCAAUCUGUGAUUGUUUAUGCCAUAGCGCAACAAGUCACGCAGACUUUAUCUGGUGCAAGAUGGAAGGGCAAUUGGAUUGCAGCUUAGAAAGUAGGCAGGACUCCACUUCGUCAUGCCAGUGAUGAGGAGUUAAAGAUAGGUGGACUGUGUUGUAUGAAACAGAAGCUCUGUCAAGGCUGUUAUUCUGCGGUGUGGUGUGUGGCAGGAACACCAUGUGAACUAACAUCAAGCAGCCCGAGAUGAGACAAUAUUUGCUGAUUUGGGCAGCAUAAAACAGAGACACUGUGUAAUGGAGCAUAUUUAAGGCUGGGCACUGAGAAAAGGUUCCAGUUUAUGAGCUUAGAUUGAAGCUUGAAAUUGCUCAUCAAGAAGAAAGUCCAGACAAGGAUUUUAAAUGGUUUCUUCUGAAUAAAGCAAUUAAUGUUAAAGGGAACAAGCCAUCUCCUCAACAUUUCUUAGGUGGAAUAUUUCACUACCCAGUAUGUUUCAACAUCAAACAAAAAGAACAGAAGCAUUUUUUUUUUCCAGAAACCACUGAGAAAAUUAUCUGGGUUACUUCAUCUCACUGCAUAGAUGAUUCCACUACCAAAUAUUGGAUGGACAGUAAAUGCUGACUGAGCACUGACUGGGUGCCUUGAUUUACUCAGAGUUUCUUCUAAUGUGGUUUGCAAGUGACAUGAGUCAUACAUUUUAUUGUACUUGGACUUAGACUUUAAGCACUUGAUAUUCAAUCCCCCCAACCCAGCCCCACAGGAUUUAUGGACAAACCCAUAAUUAAUUUUAAUAUCUGCCUUCUCCUCUAGACUGUAAGUUCCAUGUGGGCAGCGAGCAUGUCUAUCAAUUCUGUUGCAUUUUAAUCUCCCAACUGCUUAGUACAGUGACCGGCACAAAGUAAGUCCUCCAAGAGGCCUUCCUAGACUAAGCCUCCCUUUUCCUCAUCUCCCACUUACUUCUGGUUGCCCUGACUUGCUCCCUUUGCUCUUCCCCUGCCUCUCAGCCCCAGUGCACUUACGUAUAUGUCUAAUUUUAUUUAUUUUUUACUGAUGUUUGUUUAUUUGUAUUGAUGGCUGUCUCCCCCCCCAUAGACUGUGACCUUAUUGUGGGAAGGAAUUUUCACUGUUUAUUGUUGUAUUAUACUUUCCCAAGUGCUUAGUAAAGGGCUCUGCACAGAGAAAGCACUUAAUAAAUACAGUUGAUUGAUUGCUCAAAACAUACCAUGAUUAUGUUACCAGGGAACAUGUAAAACACAUAAGUACUUGGACUGCUCUUAGUAACUCAUCCAAAUCCAUAGGCUGCUCCAGUAUGAUGUGAUUGUUCUAGGCAAAAUGAAAGGUGCUCAGGUUGUCCCUUUCACCAUCACCACCAAAGUGAAUCAGGG
rnacentral:lncRNA from 1 species